rnacentral:rRNA from 1 species
AGAUUGAACGCUGGCGGCAGGCCUAACACAUGCAAGUCGAGCGGUAGAGAGGUGCUUGCACCUCUUGAGAGCGGCGGACGGGUGAGUAAUGCCUAGGAAUCUGCCUAGUGGUGGGGGAUAACGUUCGGAAACGGACGCUAAUACCGCAUACGUCCUACGGGAGAAAGCGGGGGACCUUCGGGCCUCGCGCCAUUAGAUGAGCCUAGGUCGGAUUAGCUAGUUGGUGAGGUAAUGGCUCACCAAGGCGACGAUCCGUAACUGGUCUGAGAGGAUGAUCAGUCACACUGGAACUGAGACACGGUCCAGACUCCUACGGGAGCAGCAGUGGGAAUAUUGGACAAUGGGCGAAAGCCUAGAUCCAGCCAUGCCGCGUGUGUGAAGUAAGGUCUUCGGAUUAGUAAAGCUAACUUUUAAGGUGGAGGUAAGGUUGUAACUUAAUAGUUGCAAUUUGACGUUACCGACAGAAUAAGCACCGGUCUAACUUCGAGUCCGAGCAGCCGCGUAA